CCUACGGGUGGCAGCAGUGGGGAAUAUUGGACAAUGGGCGAAAGCCUGAUCCAGCCAUGCCGCGUGUGUGAAGAAGGCCUUCGGGUUGUAAAGCACUUUCAGUGGGGAAGAAAGCCUUGGGGCUAAUACCCUCGAGGAAGGACAUCACCCACAGAAGAAGCACCGGCUAACUCCGUGCCAGCAGCCGCGGUAAUACGGAGGGUGCGAGCGUUAAUCGGAAUUACUGGGCGUAAAGCGCGCGUAGGCGGUCUGAUAAGCCGGUUGUGAAAGCCCCGGGCUCAACCUGGGAACGGCAUCCGGAACUGUCAGGCUAGAGUGCAGGAGAGGAAGGUAGAAUUCCCGGUGUAGCGGUGAGAUGCGUAGAGAUCGGGAGGAAUACCAGUGGCGAAGGCGGCCUUCUGGACUGACACUGACGCUGAGGUGCGAAAGCGUGGGUAGCAAACAGGAUUAGAUACCCCUGUAGUC
rnacentral:rRNA from 1 species